GGGGUUGUGGCUCAGUGGUAGAGGGCUCACCUAGCACACGUGAUGCCCUGAGUUCAAUCCUCAGCACCACA
rnacentral:tRNA from 1 species